rnacentral:lncRNA from 1 species
ACUUCCCUCAUGUGCAUGACAAUUUGAAUUUUGCUUGCAUGGGCCUGUGCAAGCAUUUAUCAGGCCCAAUAAUGGUUGCAAAAGCUAGAUGAGAUCAUGUAGAGAGCAAAUGGACGUGUGCAUUGGACUGAACAAGCUUGCAUACUCAAGUUUCAUCAUAAAAUACCAAAAUGCAAAUAAAUGAAGAUAAUUUCGAAACUCACAAAUGGUAGAUCCAAAUGAGUAAUGUGAGUAAUGGUUAGAAA